UUUACACAUGCAAGUCGAACGGUAACAGGGUGCUUGCUCGCUUCACUAGUGGUAAACGGGUGAAUAAUGCAUCAGAGCCUGCCAAGUAGUGGGGGAUAACGCAACAAAAGUUGUGCUCAUACGGCAUACCUACUGAGGUCCAAAGGGGGGGACCUUCGGACCUCCCGCUCUUCCAGCGGCCGACGUCUGAUUAGGUAGUUAGUGAGGUAAAGGCUCACCUAGGCAACAAUCAGUAGCUGGUCUGAUAGGAUGAUCCGCCGCUCUGGCACUGAGACACUGACCAAACUCCUACAGUAGGCAGCAGUGGGGAAUUUUGGACAAUGGGCGAAAGCCUGAUCCCCCCAUGCCGCGUGGCUGAGGAAGGCCUUCAGGUUGUAAAGGACUUUUGUCCUGUAGGAAAUCCCUAAAGCUAAUAACACUGGGGGAUGACAGUACCUGAAUAAUAAGCACCANCUAACUACGUGCCUCC
rnacentral:rRNA from 1 species